rnacentral:misc_RNA from 1 species
UGGUUCUGGCAUCGAUGAAGAACGCAGCGAAAUGCGAUAAGUAAUGUGAAUUGCAGAAUUCAGUGAAUCAUCGAAUCUUUGAACGCACAUUGCGCCCUUUGGCAUUCCGAAGGGCAUACCUGUUCGAGCGUCAUGACAACCCUCGAAUCUCCGGAUUUGAUGUUGGGCAGUGCCCGCACGGGGCAUGCCUUAAAGACAGCGACGGUUGCCGGUCCGACCUAGGCGUACAAGCAUCGCGAUAGGGACGACGGAGGCGCCGGUCUGUGACGAAAAUUUCCAUGUUGACCUCGGAUCAGGUAGGGAUACCCGCUGA